rnacentral:tRNA from 1 species
GAGGGUAUAGCUCAGUGGUAGAUAGAGUGCAUGCUAAGCAUGCAUGAAGUCAUGGGUUCGAUCCCCAAUACUUCUG